UCAGGCUACACCUGGCCUUAACAUCCUGACUCAACACCUUCUGUGCUUUCUUCCUGGCUUCCCUCGUUCGGCCCUGUCCCUCGAACAUGGCAUCGCUGAACUUAGCCUGGUUACAUUUCUUGAACUGGGAUCUACCUAGCUGAGUGGGGUCUGCUAACCGUUCGACCUCCCACAGUAGCUCGACCAGUCGGGUGCCGUCUUCCACUCCCUUGGCUGACCUGGAGUCGCUGCCGUUGUUACGUGCUUGGCUAAAACACCGUGCCUCGCCAAUCCCUCGCCAGUCUCGUUCCCCAUAUUAUACUCAGAACAGGGGGCAUGUGUUUGUGUUCACUGUACACUCCUCGUGUGCUCCAGGGCACUUUACUUGGAAGCCUUCCCCUCUCAGCCAGGACCCAGUCCAACACAGUUUGUGUUGAAUUUCUUUCCAGGCAUAUUACUUUUGGGUAAAUUAUAACUUAGAACAUGUGCAUAGUUUGAGUUGUAACUGAAUGUACAUUAAUGUUUAAUAUCAAAAUAUCCUUUGUUUAAACUACUAUUUUCGCUGUGUUUUUCUGUACAGACCUCCACUUGGCCAUGUAUAUGUAGAACUUUGACCUUCUUCUGCCAAGCACAUUUCCACAUCUAGACUCCAUCCAUUUUUUAAGAAGGGCUGUGUUCAAGUUAACAAAUCUCUGACCAAACCAUCACCAGUGUGCCCUAAAUCGAACCUGACCUUGAAACAACAGAAACACUAUGAUGAGAAAACAAAGAAGGAUCCAUCAUUGCCACCGUGUUUGAAGGCUGCUGAACAAACCUGCUUCAGACAUCAUCAGGAUUCUUUCUACAAGAAGUCAUCUGUGUACAGUCAGACAUAUGUACUUAAAGGUCUGCCUGAUGAAGAAGGAACUUCAGCUGGCUUCUCGUUUAAACUGUGGGAAUGCAUGUUCCAAGUCUUCAUUUUAAAGAGACUUCAUUUUGGAGACUUUAUGCGCCAGACACCUAUCACAGAUUUUGACAAUGGCAACAUUGUUGGCAGAAGAUGUUGAGCUUAACCCUGGCCCUUGGACAGUAAAUCUGUCUUAAUUCAUUACUGUUAGUUAUUUAUUCAGGAGUUAAACAGUUUAUGGUCUCACUUACAGCUGUACAAAGUUGGUAUGUGUUUUACACCGUGGAAUAUUUGUUUCUUGAUUACCACUGAGGCUUAUUCAUGGCUAUGAGCAUCAACAGCAUCAUGUCAUUUGGGGGUGUUAUAGGAAAGUUUUGUGGCCGUGUUACAAAAUUAGCACUCUAACAACUAUAUUUCUUUUAUUUCUGCAAACAUGUUAUCAGUGAACUUUUUAUCAAAUAAGUUUAUUUUUUCUUUUCUUUUUUUUUUUUGAUUUGCAGCAUCCUUGCUGUCGGGAGGGAUGUACAGCUGUUCAUCACACCAUUCAAAAGUAAGUACGCAAUGCUGUUUGUCCUUGUUCAGGUGGACAGUUGUGUCUGUGGGCCAGUUGCGCUGUCCUGAUGAGAGAUACUUAGAGCCGCAUGUCCUUCAGCAUAUUUACAGGGUAUUGUGCAUAUUGAUAUAUAAACAUAAGCUAGUAUAUUGUCAUUCCUCCUGUUGGUAUGCACUGACCCCUUGUCUUGUCUUUUGGCAAUUGAAACUAAUAAAUUUAAAAAUCCAUUAAUUCUUGAGAUUAUAGCCUUGCUUAGAAAACUGGUUAAAAGAGG